CCACCAGGUUUUACGCUGGUCUCUCCUCGCAGCCCGCGCUCCCCCAAAUUCCCCAUUCUACUUGCGUCGGGAGAGAACGACGAGCAGGGGCGGCGCGAUUUCGCCGCGAUUUCGCACCGGAUUCAUGGGGGGUAGCCAUCGUGUGAGGCCGGCCACACGCGGGCACUGCCGGUGAGCCCCCAGCCCGCCCGUCCUCGCCGGUCCUCCCCAUCUGCCCCCAAAAGUUUUCCAUGACAUUCCUAAUCGGUCGUCGUCGAGGCAUUUGCUGCUGCCAUGCGUGCAGGUGCAGACCUGGGUGGUGCCGCUGGCGCUUACGAUCCGACCGUGAGCCGGCUUAUGGGGCAGGUUCCCGGCGGAGUCAACGGGAGCAGCGCCGGCGGCCCCGGCCCGCCUAGGCCAGCAGGGGUUGCAUCUGACGCCUAGACGCCUGUACGCACGCACGGAUGCAAGCAGAGGGUCACAAGGUGUGCGUUUUGACACGCUCCACCUUCAGGGUCGUCUCUGUUUUCUUUGAGUUAGCUAGGUGUAUUCCACUUCUUCAGUUAAGUUCAGUUGAAAUGAGGAUACUUGAUUUUGACAUCGCCGAAAACGGCUCCGCUUCUUGUACACCAACGGACCGGGACCCACGAAAAAACCCUUUUCAAACCAUCAAAGUAAUGCCCAAGUAAGGAAACCUCUACCAGGUGCAGUAUAAGUCAACACUAGCUGCUCAUGCUGGAAGAAAAGAUAGGAAAACACUGAAAAAACAGUUGCAAUCAGGAUGAACAAGAGUUUUGUAAAAGAGGAGGCGUAUUAGAAGGCACAUCAAGAUGGAAACUCGCUUUUUCAGGUGUUGGAUUCGUUGAAAGAGGGCAAGAGGAGGUUGUGGGUUGGGGAAUUCAGGAACACCUGAAUCUUAGAUCAAUGACCACCAAAAUUGGGGGCAUCAGUUGUGGCAAUGGAGGAGAGGACAAACGGAGAAGGGCAUGUUUGGGGGGCUACGACUGGGGUAAGGAGGCGAGACGGGUGUCUGGUGCAUCGGCAUGUGCCUUACACGGAGCAAAAAUUACGAUCAUGUCAGAUUCUCCCCUGGGGGCCAUGUGUGCGGGGGACUGUUUGUUUCCUUUUUGGUUUGCCUGUUGGAUACGGGGAAAGGCCUACUACCUAAUUUGGGGUGUGUGCCCUGGAACACUAGCCAGCCAACGGGUGCUGGCUAGUCGCGUCCAUCUAAAAAUUGUACCUAAAUUGAGCGUAACCAUUCCAUUUUUAAUCAUACCUAAAAAUCACAAUCAAA